rnacentral:rRNA from 1 species
CGACCCCAGGUCAGGCGGGGCUACCC